rnacentral:rRNA from 1 species
GCCUUUUGGUUUGGAAUAACACGGGGAAACUUGUGCUAAUACCGAAUAAGCCCUUACGGGGAAAGUUUUAACGCCGAAAGAUGAGCCUGCACUUGAUUAGCUAGUUGGUAAGGUAAAGGCUUACCAAGGCAACGAUCAAUAGCUGUUCUUAGAGGAAGACCAGCCACAUUGGGACUGAGACACGGCCCAGACUCCUACGGGAGGCAGCAGUGGGGAAUCUUGCACAAUGGGGGAAACCCUGAUGCAGCGAUGCCGCGUGAGUGAAGAAGGCCCUUGGGUUGUAAAACUCUUUCGUCGGGGAAGAAAAUGACUGUACCCGAAUAAGAAGGUCCGGCUAACUUCGUGCCAGCAGCCGCGGUAAUACGAAGGGACCUAGCGUAGUUCGGAAUUACUGGGCUUAAAGAGCUCGUAGGUGGUUAAAAAAGUUGAUGGUGAAAUCCCAAGGCUCAACCUUGGAACUGCCAUCAAAACUUUUUAGCUAGAGUGUGAUAGAGGUAAGUGGAAUUUCUAGUGUAGAGGUGAAAUUCGUAGAUAUUAGAAAGAACACCAAAUGCGAAGGCAACUUACUGGGUCACUACUGACACUGAGGAGCGAAAGCAUGGGUAGCGAAGAGGAUUAGAUACCCUCGUAGUCCAUGCCGUAAACGAUGUGUGCUAGACGUUGGAAAUAUAUUUUUCAGUGUCGCAGCGAAAGCAUUAAGCACACCGCCUGGGGAGUACGACCGCAAGGUUAAAACUCAAAUGAAUUGACGGGGACCCGCACAAGCAGUGGAGCAUGUGGUUUAAUUCGAAGAUACGCGCAGAACCUUACCAACACUUGACAUGUUCGUCGCGAGACUAAGAGAUUA